AGAGCGAACGCUGGCGGCAGGCCUAACACAUGCAAGUCGAGCGCCCGUAGCAAUACGGGAGCGGCAGACGGGAUAGUAACACGUGGGAACGCGCCCUUCGGUUCGGAAUAACUCAGGGAAACUUGAGCUAAUACCGGAUACGCCCUUACGGGGAAAGAUUUAUUGCCGAAGGAACGGCCCGCGUCCGAUUAGCUAGUUGGUGAGGUAAUGGCUCACCAAGGCGACGAUCGGUAGCUGGUCUGAGAGGAUGACCAGCAUCACUGGGACUGAGACACGGCCCAGACUCCUACGGGAGGCAGCAGUGGGGAAUAUUGGACAAUGGGCGCAAGCCUGAUCCAGCCAUGCCGCGUGGAUGAUGAGGCCUUAGGGUUGUAAAGUCCUUUAACGGGAAGAUAAUGACGGUACCGUAGAAUAAGCCCCGGCUAACUUCGCGCCAGCAGCCGC
rnacentral:rRNA from 1 species